rnacentral:lncRNA from 1 species
CUGGACUCAUUUCAGGACUCUGAGCAGAGUUCUUAGGUCUGUAAGCCAAGCCACUUCUGUUUCUCUUUUGAGUUGCUAUAAAGUACAGACGAUUCUACCAACCUUGACACAAACGCCCAGCUGCCCCCAGUUCAGUGCCACAGAGAAAAGCCUUGCAGAACAGGUUGAGUUUGUGGAUGGGCAUGGGGUAGAAGGUAUCAUCUCUUCUCUAUCAAUGACUUGGGUGAUACUUCUGGCAACAAAACAGACAGUUCUCGGCCUCUGUGUUUUCAUUGUCCAACUGAAGAUUAGACAAGAGGCAGCAUGGGGUGGUGGAUAAAUCGUGGACCAGGAUUGAAGCGAAGAUCUGCUCAUCUGGGACACUCACCAGUCGUCCUCAGGUUCUGAAGAGAACUCACCGGUUGUAGAGUCUGUGUUAAUCACCCAGCAUUAAUAUUUCCAUUGCUCCAUCAUCAUGUGUAAGCCUGUCAACAGCGUUCUUCUCCAGAAGUAAACUUGCUCAACCUUUAGUUUCACAUCAGUGAAGGUGGAUUCUUUCACCAAGAUGGACUUGUUUGUUCUCAGGAAAUCCAUACAGCCCUCGAUGAAGAGUUCAGAAACUCUUUUUAUGCAUUAAAAGCACCUACACAAUUUGAUGGUUUAAUACAACAAGUUUUUCCUCAUAAUUCUGUGGGUCAGCAGUUUGGGCUGGGAUCAGCUGGGCUGUUCCUCUGUUGGUUUUCCUGAGGACACUCGUGACUGCUGUCAUCAGGCAGUUCCACUGGGGCUGAGUGAUCCAACAUGACUCACUUACAUGCCUGGCUAUGGGUGACAGCUCUUCUCCGGACCUUACUCCCCACAAGCUUUCUCAUCCUCCAGCCAGCUGGACUGGACUUUUCCACACAGUGUUCUCAGGGUCUCAAGAGAGCGAGAGCAGAAGCUGCCAGGCCACUUGAGGUCCAGACUUGGAACUAACACCAUCACUUCUACUGCAAUUUAUUGUUCAAAGCAGGACAUUAAGCACCCCUAUUCAAGGGGGUAGAGAAAUAGACUCUACCUCUUGAUGGGGGAAGCAAAGGCACCUGAAAACAGAAGUGGGAGAAAUCUGUGACCGUUUUUUGCAGUCUUUCACAAGGAGAAAAUAAUCUUACCUGGACAAAGAAGAGGCUUCACCCCAGUGUUCUUUCAACUUUAACAUGAACAUGAAUCACCUUAGGAACUUGUUACAAUGCAGGUUCUGAUUCAGUUGGUCUGGUGUGGGACUGAAGGUAUUUCUAACAAGCUCUCAGGUGAUGCUGAUGCAGCUGGUUCACAGAGUACAGUUGGUGAACCAAGGUUCUAAUCACUGACAUGGGUUAUGAAGACCAGAAAUCUAAAAUAAAGGUGUUGGCAAGACCAUGUCCUCUCUGCAGCCUCUUGGGAAGAAUCCUUCCUUGCCUCCUCCUCUUCUGGUGGUUCUCAUUAUUCCUUGGCUUAUGGCAGGCUCUGCUCCCUUUCAGGCAGUCCUCCAGAGUUGGCUGCACCUAUCUUCUCCAAGGGUUUUCAAGACUGUUGUUCCACAAAGCCAAUGGCCUAUUGGGUCAACGUCCUUCCUUCCCAUCAAUGGAUGUGCUGAUAUCGUGUUCUCUCAGUGGGAGAUAUGAAAUUAACCAGGAAUGGUGAAUUUCACAAUAAAAAACACGAAGGGAUGCUUCCUAGACCUACAAAGGGGGAGACAGUGCACGGAUACCACAAACUUCACGUGCACUGAUAGGACAAUAAACAAAUGCCUCCCAAGAGAUGUUACAUGGACAAGAAGGGCACAAAGAAGUUUAUACUUCCUGCUCUAGAUUAAUUGUAUCCCGAUACAACACAGGAAGGACAUGGGCUUGAAAUGAACAGACUUGGGCCCAGAUUCUAGCUCCAUCAUUUGCUUCUUUAUCCAGAGCCUCCAAUUCAUUUGCCUUCCAGAGUUUCUGCAGUGAUCAGCAAAACCAUCUGACACAGGGGACCACACAGCGGGAACUCAAUAAAUGCUAAUUCCUUCUCUCAUCCUGUUGCAGAGUCAGCCCAAACCUCUCUCCAAUAUCUUCUACAGGGAAAAGAUCUCUUGGGCUCACCCAGGCUGGGCUGUGGUGUGCAAUUCUUCAUUAAGAGAUAUGAAGAGCCCAGAAAUGGAAAAGCUGGAAUAAAGGAAUGCAGAGUGGGGCUGCCUGUUUUGUUCCUUUUGCAAACACACACAAACAUGAUGAUGGGGAGCAGCACCAGGGACAUGUCAAAGAUGACAGCAGCACUGGUCAGGUGCAAAUUGCCCUUCGAAAAAUGCCUAAGGCAGCACAGCUUUUGGCAGUCUUUUUUUUUUUUCUUUUCUAAUCAAGGCAAAGAUUUCUCUAAAAAAGCACAUAGUAAAGGAAGCCAAAGGAAUGUUAGUGCCUGUCUCUAGAAGCCACAUUUAUCUAUUUUUAGUCCCCAGCAAAGCCCAGUACACUGUAAUCAGUAUAAUAACAUGCUGUCUUUCAUAAAGACAGAUGACACAGUUGACCUUCAGUCCCCAUCUGGACACAGGACGUGUGCUGUGGGUUGUUUUGUCAGCUGUGGGCUUGGAUUAUUUGUCUGUACCCUCUCAUCUAGUUUGGAUCAGAACCAGGCAUUUUCAGGAAGACUAGAAAAUAUGAGUGUGGGGUCAACUGGACCUCUGAAAAAAGAAUUGGUAGAUGUGAAGUCUGAAGGCAUCAUGGGUGGAAUUAGUAUGGAAUUUUGCUCAAGUUACUUACUUCUGUAAAGACCUACUGGCCCCUUAUACUUUGUGGAAUAAAAUCUUCACCUUGAUCUUUUUCACCCAAGUUGGUAACUCAAUGCAGUCUUCCUGCUGGACCACUUCCUCAAUCUUGGGACAUCAAAUAUAUACUCUCAACCUCCUUGAACACAAUAAAACUUAACUUUCUCCAGACUGAGAACAGAAUUGUCCUGGAAACCUCCUG